rnacentral:tRNA from 1 species
GCAGGUGUGGUGUAGCGGUAACACGAGACCCUUCCAAGGUCCAGUCAUGGGUUCGAUCCCCAUCACCUGCU